ACAUUCCACUGAGACCUGUGCAACCAUGUCCCUGAGCAAGUAGUAAGAAAUCUGUAGCAGCACGAUUCUGUAGUACCGCACGCCGAACACUAUCGACAUACACUGUUUGUUUCCACAUCGCAGGGAGAGUCCUUCCCAGACACACAGGUACAGGUGGAGCUGUUGCUCAUGAACCUCCAUAAUUCCAGCUCUGCCUUGCCCUUAUACCCAACCAUUAAGGCUGCUUCUGUCAUGAUCUUACUCCCAAAAUGAAAACGACGACUCCCUGUCCUGUUUCGGUCAGUGUAACUACUGAUCCCAGUAAACCCAACUCUUCCAGGUCCGAACGGCUGACGUUCAGAUUAUUAACUCUAACUCCCAUACGUAAAGCAUCCUCUGCCCCAGUGUUUGCUUUGAACGCCGGACAGGAUAAAGUGGAUCCUGGACUUAUUCCUAUCAUCCUACAUAGAGUUGUGAGGUUAGCAGUUAGUCCCACCCUGUCUCCCACGUAAUUUUGAAAUGCAGACCAUUGAAAACCCCAUGGUACCCCAGCGAGGCAUGUUCGGAAAGGAUCUGUAGCAGACUGUAAUGCAAGACAAAAGGAGUCUUGUUUGGUUUGAUUUGCCCAGGUGAGUCCUAGCAUCCAUGCUGUGUAAUGCCUCUGGGUCCCUUCCUACUAACAACCCCAUCACUACCACCAUUAAUCCCCUAAACGCUGUCAUUCUUUUGUCCUCUCUGGAGCACCAGUCGAAGGGGUCCUCUCAUCUCUGUAGCCCAGUGUGGCUGAGUCACUUUCUUCACACGGGUAUGGCGUAUCCACGGGACCAACCCUUUCACCUCGACUGCCACAUAAUACACCUAGGAAUAACCUUAUGCAACAAAGCCUUCGUUAUUGGUCCUACAGGGAAAUACCUCUGGCCAUCCUGAAAAGCUCCGUGCAGGACCUUUUGUCCACGAGGGUCCUGUGAGAAGCAGUGCCAAAAGCUUUGCUGAAACCCAGCAAGUUAACACCAGCCAGCUGCACCCGGUCAGCCAGACGGGCGGCCUUGUCGUGGCAGGAAAUCGAGCUAGUCCUACAGGACCUAUAUAACAUACAUACGUACAUACAUAUAAUAUCUUUUCUCUCUUCCUUUUGCCUUAGUAAACAGUUCCUAUC
rnacentral:lncRNA from 1 species